GUGAGGAAUUUUGCGCAAUGGGGGCAACCCUGACGCAGCGACGCCGCGUGGAGGACGAAGUCUUUCGGGAUGUAAACUCCUGUCAGUGGGGACGAUAAUGACGGUACCCACAGAGGAAGCACCGGCUAACUCCGUGCCAGCAGCCGCGGUAAGACGGAGGGUGCAAGCGUUGUUCGGAAUUACUGGGCGUAAAGCGUAUGUAGGCGGCAAGUUAAGUUCAAUGUUAAAGCCCACGGCUCAACCGAGGAGAUGCAUUGAAUACUGGCUAGCUAGAGGGUGUUAGAGGAAGACGGAAUUCCCAGUGUAGCGGUGAAAUGCGUAGAGAUUGCGAGGAACAUCGGUAGCGAAAGCGGUCUUCGGGGACAUACCUGACGCUGAGGUACGAAAGCGUGGGGAGCAAACGGGAUUAGAAACCCCUGUAGUCC
rnacentral:rRNA from 1 species